AUUGAACGCUGGCGGCGUGCCUAACACAUGCAAGUCGAGCGGCAGCGCGGGAGCAAUCCUGGCGGCGAGCGGCGGACGGGUGAGUAACGCUUGGGAAUCUGCCUGUUAGUGGGGGACAACCCGGGGAAACUCGGGCUAAUACCGCAUACGCACUACGGUGGAAAGCCGGGGACCGCAAGGCCUGGCGCUAACAGAUGAGCCCAAGUCGGAUUAGCUAGUUGGUAGGGUAACGGCCUACCAAGGCGACGAUCCGUAACUGGUCUGAGAGGACGACCAGUCACACCGGAACUGAGACACAGUCCGGACUCCUACGGGAGGCAGCAGUGGGGAAUAUUGGAACAAUGGGGGAAACCCUGAUCCAGCGACGCCGCGUGGGUGAAGAAGGCCUGCGGGUUGUAAGCCCUUUCAGUGGGGAAGAAAAGCCUCGACCUAUACGUUGGGUCUGACUAACCAUAGAAGAAGCACCGGCUAACUCUGUGCC
rnacentral:rRNA from 1 species